UCUCUUUCUCUCUCUCCCUCUGUCUCUUUUUUCUCUUCUUUCCUUGUUAAUCAGACACCACCGCAAUAAAGAUCUCUUGGUCUCUCUAAGUGUCGUGGUCACUUUCCUUUCAUCCAGUACUGAAACCCAGGAAGAGGGUGAAAACCCACUUUUGGGUCCUUCUUCCUUCGGACGUGCCAGUCACCAGAUGACCUGAACCCAUUUUCUUGACCUCCAGAACUACAUCCACCACCGACCUUCGAUUGGUGAGUUUCCCCUUUCUGGAGUCCUAAACCCAAUGGUGGUGUCAGGAGGAUUUGACCUCUUCGCCCACCUGUGGGGAGGAAAAGACCCCAUCACAGCCUUCAAGGCCAUGAUGGUCCCCAUGGACUCCCUCCUUGGGCAGAUUUGACUCUUGGGUUCAAAAUUCCUUCCUUCCCUCUUCCCUGGCAUAGACCCCAUACAUCAUCUUCAAAGGACUGUGUAACCUUAGGAACAUACAACAGAGAGAGGAAAAUCACAUCCCACCUAGACCUUCAUGAUCUCAGUGGCCCUCAUAAAGUCUUCUCACCUUUAAGACUCGGCUGCUAGAGAUAUGCUUACCCUCCCCUUCCACUCUCCUUCUCCGGCCCUGGGAGUCUCCAGCCUCUCCAGGAGGGGUCCCAAAAAGCCUUGGCCAAGGUCUCCCAUGGCCCUGGCCCUGUCCAGGAUGGAAGCCUCAACUGUCAGGAUUUGGUGAUGACCAAUCUCUCUGCAGCUCGAACCUGCCACUAGGCACUGCCAGAUUUUUGGCUCUAGCGGGAAUGCUCCUUUUGCCAAUAAAUCAGCUCCCUCCUCUCCCCAUAUAAUGUUUGCAAGAUGGGCAAUAUAUCCUCUAUGCCUGCUGACUCUCCCUUACAAUGUCUCUUAGACAACCUCAAGACCUUCUCCUUGACACCGGACAUCAAACCCCCCAAAUUGAUUAAAUAUAGCACCCAGGAUUGGCCUAAUUAUCCCCUAGACAACCAAAGCAAAUGACCUCCUCUUGGAUCUCUGGAUCCCUCCAUUCUAAGGGGUCUCUACAACUACUCCGAGCAUUCGAAAAAAUGGAUAAACAUCUCCUAUAUCCAAGCUUUCUUCUUGCUCUGAUCCAAUCCUGCUCUCUGCACCUCUUGAAAACAUCUACACAUUCUUCUAGCUUGCAAACCAACCCCCCCAACCACUGACCCCCCAACCUUCUCUUCCUCUGGACUCAUCUACUACUUUGGACCCUGCUGAUGAACCUCCACCCUAUUUCCUGGCUCAAAUAGGUCCUCACCCUUAACCUUCUGCCCCAGCCCCUCCACCAUCACCCCUGCCUCAACAACCUGCUUUCUCCCUUCCAAUUACUAGAUCAAAAACCUACAUCACCGCCCUUCCCCAAACUGUUGUCCCCUUGUGUGAGGUAACAGGUACUAAAGGAAUCCCUCCAUCCACUCACUCCUCUCUUCUCCUAUCUGUGACAACACCUGGUCCCACUAGGCCCCCUUACUGGCUAACCCAAAGCUCAAAUGAGCUGAGGAGGGCCCUCAGACCCCUAUCUGAGAUGUGGUGAAAAUAGCCUUUAAAGUUGCUUUGUUAUCACUGAAAACAAGGUUACUAAGAAUUUAAAGUCAAUACAGGUUUUUUGUGAUAUUUGCUCCCGUCCUCCCCUCUGCUCUAUCUAUUCUACUGCUCAAGUUUUCCUUGCUAGGGAAAGUCCCAAACCCCUUUCCCAUUAUUUUUUUUUUACAUCUCCUUCCUCAUUCUCAAAUCUACCUGAGCUGCUCUCAGCACCACCUUCCUGUCUCCCCCCACCCCCAGGCCCACAGAAAAGUCUUAACUGACCUUCUCCAGAAAUCUUCACCAAGGCUGAUUUUAGGACUAUCAGCAAAAGAGUCUCUACAACAAAAUUUAAUGUAGAUAAGCUUCCUCUUUUUGUGUUGCUCGGUUUUACUUGGCCACUUGCCUGGAAAAAUCAGUACUCCAGAUGCUAGACACCUCCUCCCUAGUUUUUCACAAAAAUAUGUAAACAAGCCCUCUGGCCUUGAGCUGGGGAUUCCUAGAGAUGUCUCCAUUUCUAAGAUAAGAGAAGUUACCUGUUGGGCUCCAUGGUAACUGCUGGCAGGGGGAGGAAAGAAAGAGAAAAAAAAGCUCUCCCCUUCUCAGGUGUCCUUGAAGGGUUAACUUGCCCAGAACAGUGAAAAAAACUGCUUUUAUGUGAACUUCUGCAGACUGUGAACUUCUGAGUCCCUCCUAUUACAUGCUGGGUAUAAAUUUCCAAAACUACCUGAACUUGGGGUUCAGGAGAUUGAUUGAUUGAUUGCAGCAGAAGCUGUGACCUCUGAGCCUGGCUGCAGCCAGAUAAAACUGUUUCCCCAUCUCCAGUGCUACCUGUGGGGCCUUGCCUUGUCCGUCCCUACAACAGUAUAAUUCUAUAUACUUAAACCUGUUUAUGUUUUCAUGAAAUGGUAAACAGAUGUGAUUAACUGUGUACUGUAAAUAACAAAAUAUUUCUUAUUAAAAUGGAAUAAUUUGCCUAAAUUCAGAAAUUUACAAGGAUUGUGUCAAAAUGUGACUAAAAAGGGGUUAACAGAUGAAAAAGAGAAAUUAGAGGUUCUAGGUAUGGAUUUAAUAGAAGGGAAAAAAGUGUUUCUGGAUAAGAGAGUCUAUGUGAUUAAGUAAAUAAGAGGGUUUAAGUUGGUGAUAAAGAAGGUCUGUGUAAGUUGGUUAUAUAUGAAAGUUUUUGAGCAAGUAAUCUUGAAGGAGUUAAGGAUUAUACAACUGUGGCUAAACAACAACUGCUAUUUUACAAAUUUGUAAUAUGGUCAAGCAAGUCCUGGACCCAUCCUAGUGCAAAUGGCACUAGCAGAACUAAGAAGCCGCUCUCAAGUCCCCCAUGAGUGACCCCUAUGAGAACUCAGCUGACUCUUAACAAUAGAUAGAAACGAAGUCCAUUUUGACCAGCUUGAUCUUAAACACCUACCCAAAAUAGUUAAACCAAAACACAGUCUUUUGUGGGGGUAAGGAAGGACAAGUAAAGCUAGAAAAGAGGAGACAGCAACUAGGCCAACAGUCUCCAUGGGGAAUGUUCACUCAUGUAUGACCUUGGCUCUUACCUUGCAGGACCCCUACUAGUCCUCUUUAUAUUUCUCCUAAUAGGACCAUGUUUGUUAAAUUGUUUACAGAAGUUCCUGCAAGAUCAGAUGCACAAAUUCACCAACCAGUCGGUCAAUCAAUUACUCCUUCAAGACCAGCAAUCCCUGAUACCCAAGAUGAAGACCUAUGACUCAUGACCAACUCCUCCAGCUCCAGAGACUCUGCCCCUAUUUAAAAUUCUCCCUGACCCCUUUUCCAAUUUUUACAACCCCUCUUUCACUUCCCAGGAAUGAGAACUACUCUCUAGCAGGUCCACUGCACAUGUUCUGUCUGCUGUACAGUAUCCCCACAAGGAAGCAUCAAACCUAAACUCCUCACGCAUCAGAUGAGGAGCUACCAGCCAGGUGAAGACUGGCAGAUCAACUUCACUCACAUGACUAGGCACAAAAAACUUUGCUACCCACUUACUUUCAUUGAUACUUUUUCAGGUCGGAUAGAAGAUUUCCCUACCUCCAGGGAAAGUGCUGACACUGUCGCCUCCAUCCUCAUUGAGCAGAUCAUUCCCAGGUUUGGACUUUCCACCUCCAUCCAGUCAGAUGAUGGUCAAGCCUUCACUUCUCAGGUUGUUCAAUUAUUCUCCAAAGGCCUCAACAUCACUUGGAGGCUCC
rnacentral:lncRNA from 1 species